GAUGAACGCUGGCGGCGUGCCUAAUACAUGCAAGUCGAGCGAAGCGGGGACGGGUGAGUAACACGUGGAUAACCUCCUAUAAGACUGGGAUAACUUCGGGAAACCGGAGCUAAACCGGAUACUUAUACAUGGAUCCGGGAUGCAUUAGCUAGUUGGUAAGGUAACGGGUUACCAAGGCAAAGAUGCAUAGCCGACCUGAGAGGGUGAUCGGCCACACGGGAACUGAGACACGGUCCAGACUCCUACGGUAGGCAGCAGGAGGGAAGCUUCCGCAAUGGGCGAAAGCCUGACGGAGCAACGCCGCGUGAGUGAUGAAGGUCUUCGGAUCGUAAAACUCUUUUAGUAGGGAAGCGGUACCUAAACAGAAAGCAACGGCUAACUACGUGCCAGCAGCCGCGGUAAUAC
rnacentral:rRNA from 1 species